rnacentral:tmRNA from 1 species
GGGGGCGUAAAGGUUUCGACAGGUGUGUGGAACGAAGAUAAGCGAGCCGUGGUGGUGAUCCACGCUAAAAGUACCCGUUUAAAAGAAACGCUAAAACUUCAAACAACUUCGCACUGGCUGCAUAGUUCAGCCCCGCGCGUCGGCCUCAGGUCACCUGCAGCCUGAGAGUCACCUGCAGCCUGAGAACCCGGCGUCAUCAAUGCAGGGACCUCUUGCGUGAGUGCCCGGUAGCGUAAGAGUACCCACGGGAUAGCAAACCCCAAGUCUGCCGUAUCGGCGAGGGGCGCGUGAAACAACAGCGAUCGGCUGCGCUCGGAGAAAGUUUUCCGGAAAUGCUCUUGGACGUGGGUUCGACUCCCACCGCUUCCACCA